GACGAACGCUGGCGGCGUGCUUAACACAUGCAAGUCGAACGGAAAGGCCCUGCUUUUGUGGGGUGCUCGAGUGGCGAACGGGUGAGUAACACGUGAGUCACCUGCCCUUGACUUUGGGAUAACUUCAGGAAACUGGGGCUAAUACCGGAUAGGAGCUCCUGCUGCAUGGUGGGGGUUGGAAAGUUUCGGCGGUUGGGGAUGGACUCGCGGCUUAUCAGCUUGUUGGUGGGGUAGUGGCUUACCAAGGCUUUGACGGGUAGCCGGCCUGAGAGGGUGACCGGCCACAUUGGGACUGAGAUACGGCCCAGACUCCUACGGGAGGCAGCAGUGGGGAAUAUUGCACAAUGGGCGGAAGCCUGAUGCAGCAACGCCGCGUGCGGGAUGACGGCCUUCGGGUUGUAAACCGCUUUCGCCUGUGACGAAGCGUGAGUGACGGUAAUGUGUAAAGAAGCACCGGCUAACUACGUG
rnacentral:rRNA from 1 species